GAGUUUGAUCGUGGCUCAGGACGAACGCUGGCGGCGCGCUUAACACAUGCAAGUCGAGCGAGAACCUGGCCUUCGGGCCUGGGAAAGCGGCGAACGGGUGAGUAACACGUGGGUAACCCACCCUUGGUACCGGGAUAGCCCGGGGAAACCCGGAUUAAUACCGGAUGGCCCAACAGCUCUUCGGGGCGGUUGGAAAAGGUAGCUUCGGCCUCCGACCAAGGACGGGCCCGCGGCGGAUUAGCUUGUUGGUGGGGUAACGGCCUACCAAGGCGACGAUCCGUAGCUGGUCUGAGAGGACGAUCAGCCACACUGGGACUGAGACACGGCCCAGACUCCUACGGGAGGCAGCAGUGGGGGAAUCUUGCGCAAUGGGCGAAAGCCUGACGCAGCGACGCCGCGUGGGGGAAGAAGGCUUUCGGGUUGUAAACCCCUUUCAGGAAGGACGAAGCUACUCGGGUUAAUAGCCCAGAGGGUGACGGUACUUCCAGAAGAAGCCCCGGCUAACUACGUGCCAGCCGCCGCCGU
rnacentral:rRNA from 1 species